AUGCACACGCCGCUGUGCAGCGACGACGUGAGGUACACCAUCCCGGCCGUGCCCAUGAAGCAGGCCUGCCACGUCGCCACCAGCGCGGCCACCAACACCCAGUACGCCGCCGGCGACUUGUCCCACCGCGCCAGCUCCUCGCUCCACCUGCCGGCCACCACCAGCCCGACCACCGCCAGCGCGGUCGCCGCGGCCUGCAUCACUACCUGCACCUCCACCACCAUCCGGAACCCGCCGGACACGGCCCUGCGGUACAGCAGCUCCAUGACAGGCAGGUAG
rnacentral:rRNA from 1 species